rnacentral:misc_RNA from 1 species
UACGAGACAAGUGGAGGUGAAUUUAGUUCUCUAAUCUCUGUGCAACAAUUUAUUUUCCUCUCUUCAGAUUAAAGCAAAACGUCAUCUUGACUUCAACUGAUUUUGUAGUGCGCCUUCUUUUAGCUGCAAUUUUUUGCGUCAUUAUUACAUUAGGAAAUGUUAACAUCUUGUAUUGAAAUUUAGAUGUCCCAAGGAAAUUGUUCCUCGAUAAUUGUUUUUUUUUAUUAUGGUGUCAUUUUUAUUUACCUAAUUAAGCUGGAGCAAAAUGCCAAAAAAUAUGGGAAAAAAUGUAGAUUUCCUUGUAAUAAAUAAAAAUAUGGGAAAAUUAAAA